AACCUCAACAGUAGUCUAGACAUCAAUCACCUUGAAUUGAGGGUUAUUCCUUAGGAAAGGUAGCAACAAAAAAGCAAUCAAUUUAGAAUCCAAGUUAAAAUGAUCAACUUGGAUUACACCCAUUUGAUUACACCCAUUUGACAAGUAUGUUUGCCAUAAUAUUUUUCGAUAGUCCAUAAAUUUGUUGGUGUUUUUCGACCUCUCUAUUAUCCUGCAAACUCCAUAUUUUUACAAGCCCAGACUUAAGAUCUGACUCUUUAUCAUUUAACUAAAUUUUACAACUGCCCAGACUUAAGAUCCAAAUCUUUAUCAUUUAACUAAAUUUUACAUCCAACACCCUCUGAUUCAUGGGUAGAAGUAUACACUUCUGGACGAUCUUGAAGAUCAUUUAGAAAUGAAAUGUUCUCUUUUAUGGCACCUCAAUGACUGGUUGUUGAUCAUCGUCAUUAUUAUCACCAGAGUCACUCAUUUUAUCUGACUGAUAUGCAUCAUUUGGAGCAUCACUGUUAGAAUUAUUAUCCGCAUGAGUAUCAGCAUAGGCACUGUUAUAAACUAAAUGGGAGAGCCCAACCCAAAAGACUAGUCUAAUACGUGGGAGAACCCAUUUGGCUUAUAAUUUCCUUAGCAUUUAUCUAUUUUUUCAAUGUGGGACAAUUGGUUCAUAACAGACACCAACUUCUAUCCUAGCUUGUAUUUCAGAAACUCUUGAAAUCUCUGAAAUCUGAGAUAAAUUACUAGUUCCUGCACUAUCUCUAAAAUCAUAAUGACGAUAAUUAUCGACAUCAAAAUUUGCACUAAAAUCAGUACAUACGUGGCCAUAAUUAUCGGAUGAAAUAUCAAUUUGUAGUGUUAUACUCUGUGACAAGAAGCUCAUAAAAUUUUAAUAUUCUGAGAAAUUACUAGUCAUAUUUGUAGAUGAUUUAUAAAAAUCAGAUGGGGGUCAUUAAGAUUCAAAGAGGGUGUAGCAAAAUUUAAAGAGAGAGAAUUCAAAUUAUGUGUAGGUUCAACAAUAUUUAAUGCUUCUGUUUUAAUAUACAUCUCCAACAAAUCAAGAUUCAUCAUAUAACGCACCGUAUCAGGUGCCACUAUAAAACUCUUGCAAAGAUUAAUUAUCAAAUAUGGGGAUUUCAAAAUAACGAGCAUUACCCUGCACAGUUAAAAAUGACCAUCUACCUGAAAUAACAAGCCUUAUCUCAUUUGGACUAGUUUUCAUUCUAAUAUGCAAGUUUCUAACUAGCCAAUCAUACUCAAUAUUUAGUGAAAGUUUAACAACUGCACGAGCACCACAACUAUAUCAAACUGUAUCAGAUUCAUAUAUGACAUCACCGCCCCCAAUGCAAUGCAACUCUAACACGAGACUCAUUCAACAUUUUUAAACCUGUAAAAAUAACUUUAGUUAUUAAUAAAUUAUUUACUCAAUAGGGAGAGCAAUAUACUAAGAAAAAAUUACUAACUUUUUUUACUCCAAUUUAGAUUGAAGGAUACAUCAACUGUAAAGUAUAAUAGUUUUUGUGAAUUUAGUAAUAUACAUGACAAUGAAGAGGAUGUACGUAUAUAUAGAGGAACAAAAAAUAAUUUUGAAGACACUCUGCAUAAGAGUGUAUUUUUAAUUUGUUGGAAAGUGCAUUGCUGUCCAUAAGUCUUUAGGGUAUGAAAAAGUUAUCCCCUAUUGUUCCAUCAAUUCAAAAAAUGACAACCUUUUUCAGAUUCUUGAACAGUAAAUUUCACAGAAGGCUCAUGACGAUUAAUGAACCUUUCUUUAAAAUGUAAAACAUUUACUGAAGACUCGUGAGAGUAGAGCACCUUCAGUGUAAAUAUAUUUUAUUGAGAUGAAGAAAGGGGACCUCAGGUAAAGAUAAAGAUUUUGUGAAGUUGAGAUGAAGUGAAGAUAAAGAAUUUUUUUUUGGAAAAAACUCUCAAAGGUGUUUUUGUAAUUUGACUGAAGGUGCAUUGUAAAGAUGAGUCUUUAAUGUGUGAAAAAAUGGUCUUCUCUUGUCCCAUCAAUUCAGACGAUGACAGUCUUUUCAGAUUUCGAGAUACUAAAAUUUAUGUUGAAGGUGUAUUGAAGAAAAUGAGUCUUUCUUCAAAAAUGUAAAAUUCACGGAAGGCUCAUGACUAUCAAUGAGCCUUUCUUUAAAAUGUAAAAGAUUUACUGAAGACUCAUGAAAGUAGAGCACCUUCAGUAUAAAUAUAUUUAAUGUCUGUCUUUUUUUAACGUGAAAAUUGAACACUGAAGGUGCUCUAUGUUCAUGCGUUUUUACUAUUUUGGUCAUGAAAAAUCUUACAAACCCAUUUAUUGAAAUUGUCCUCUUUGUCCUCUUUUGUUGUUAUUGUUAGUUUGGUCUUAGAAGGAAUACUAAUACAAGUGUGAUUUACAUGGAAAAUAUAGUUAUUUAGUCUUCUCUCUUUCGACUUUUCUAAGGUGUUUUUCUGUAUAAGGGUGCAGGACCUUUUCUUUGUUAAACUAAUUAGAUUGGGUUGUGAUUAUUCAAGUCCAUAAUCUACCUGUAGCUUACAGAAUGUCACGCACUCUAUUUGAAAGAUUGAUAAGCACGUAAAGGGUCUGUUCAUUCUAACAUGGGGACUUCUCUAUUAUCUAGCUAGAGGUUUUGGCUUGCUUGUGUGUUGAAAUAUUUUUUUUUCCUUUCUCAUUUCAGCUCUCUCUCGGUGCUUGUGAUCUUAGUCCAGCUGACCAUAUGAAUGAUUUUUAAUUAACCAAUCCAAAGGCCUAUGCUUAUGUGUUGAAAUCUGUUGGGUCAUCUGAUGACUUAUGUCUCGUCCAAACUCAUUUAAUCGUUUGCUAGUUGAAAUACUCUUAACAAAUUCUGAAAAACUGUGUCUGCAGGGUCCAUAUUCACCCACUACUCGUAUGAGUUUUUCUACACACUUAAAUCAUGAAAUAUUUGGUAACAAAGAAGUGCAAUUUGCAUGUCUUAUAAGUAUCCUAGCCAUAUGUAUUGCUUUAUGAUGUCCAACCGGUACUAUAUAUGUUUAGUAAGCCAUUGAAAUAGUAUAGAUGUGUUUGGAUAGUUAAGCAUCUCACAACUUCAUCUCGAUUACGUAUUACGUGAGAAGUUUGUUUCUGAUAAUUUCUUAUUCAUCUAAAACUUGGAUGAUGGUGUGCAAACUAUUGAAUUAGUUAAGAUCUUGUUUGAGUUUAGAAGAUAACAAUCAAUUUCAAGGAGUAAAGGCCUCAAGAUCAAAACAUUAUCAUCAAAAGGGUUCACAAUGUAAAAUUGUAAAUAUAAAUUCAAAACUCUUUGUAAAUACAUGAUUUCAUAACUUUAAACCUUAUUCAAAACGUGUUCGAUAAGCCCAUGUAGUUUAGGAAAAUCCCACGUACCUUAUGUUGUUUAACUUGAAGAUUGAAACCCAACUCUUGACCCUUUUCUUGAAAUCGUGAACUUAGAGGAAACCCUAAUUUGUUUUUGUUCUUGAAAGUGGAGAGGAUUUGAGAUGUUGUAAAAGUGAUAAAAUUUGAUUAAUAAUGUUUAGGGUGUAAUUUAAUUUGUGGGGUAAGGUUUUAGGGUGAGGAAAAGACCAAAGUACCCCUAAAGAAACCAAAGAAAAUCGUAGAAUUCUUCAGUUGACGGCCAAGGUUGAUGACCCGUCAGUUAGGUGACGGCUCGUCACCCUAAGUAGUCACUUUCAGCUUGAAUUUACCCCUUACUGUCCUAGGCUGACGACUAGAGCUAAUGGGUCGUCACUUAUUUGACGGCUCGUCAACUUUAGUCGUCACCUAGUUGAUAACUCGUCAACUUCGUCGUCACUUUUUGGAAGUCAGCCACUCCAAAGUAAAAUGAACAUAACUUUCUACUCCGACAUCAUAUUAAGGUGAACCAGUUGCGUUGGAAAGAGGACUCGAAGAUCUUUCUUUUGAUAUAUAGGACACGUAACUCAUUAUGUACAGGGAGUAAUGGUCGAUGAAAGUUGACUCAAGCUGAAACAUUCAAUAAAACGUAAUAGAUAGAAACGUUCUCAACUCGUCUUCGAGUUAGGAGAUAUUCGUGACCUAAAUUCAUAUCCAAAGGUAUUCCCACACUAUAAAAUUGAUCAUAACACAUAUAUUAAUAGAGAAUCAUUGGGUUUGGGUCUAUACGUAUAGGAACGACGAUUUGAAAUCUAGCCCGAAAAAUACAGGGUGUUACAAUAUUGGUGGUGCAAGGUACAAAUCUAGACAUUGUAACGCAAUAAUGAAAAGGUAAAAGACCAAGGCUGUGCUCCGAUUGACGGAAAUGUUUUUCCCCAAAAAUAUUUCUUAGAUAAUGAUUUUUUUUCGAAAAUAAGCGAGUGGACUAUGUUUCUUGCGAUUUAUGGGUUCUUACAGCGACCUCAUGUCAAUGUACUAUAGAGGUUCUUAAUAAUUUUUUUUUAAAAUAUUUAGUGGAUUUUCUAAAUGUAUAUACAUGAUCUAGUAAAAGUUACUGGUUCCGUGAACCCCUAGUUCAUCGAUAUCUUUGUCGUGCUAAUUUGGGCAGUUUAAUUCGAUGCUGAAACUCGUAUCAAUUCCUCAUAAUCUGUUUUUAUUUAGCGUAUGAGGUAAUCUUGAACUUUGUAACCUUUUGCAGUUUUCUCUUCUGUACUGCUUUAUCAGUAAAAUGUACUUGGAUAAAAAAAGAAGGAAUGUCUAUAUCAUUAAAUAACUUAAGGUUUUGAACCAGAUGAGAUUGUUGAGGACUCUCACAACAAGUAUAUAUUUUUCACGAGCACAAUCAGGUUAGGUGAUGAUUAAGCAACAUAUAUGAUCUCUGAAUAUGUGGUUAUGUCCGUCCAAAAGACGAUAACUAUACAAACUACGCGGUCUGAUGCAAAUUCUUGGUCAUAAUCUGGAGGCGAUGGAACAAAAUUGGGCAUUUAUAGAAAUUUAAUUUUCCAUGUUUUUGGUCUGGAUCAAGUUAAAUGUGGCAGUUUCAAUUCUCUGCAAAACAUAAAUUUCAACAUAUAAUAUUACUCUUCAUUUUCUUAAAACAAAAGAACGUGUGAUAGGAACAUGAUGAAAAUAAAUUUAAGAAGGAGAUCCACGUCUCAUGUUUAAAGAGAAUAUAAAAAAAUAGUUCACGUGAUCCUUAAAACUUCACAAAAUAGAAGAUGUCACACUCCCUUUUUCAUACUCCAAAAAAGAUUAAUUCUAAAGUUUUGAAAGGAUUUUUAUUGUUAAAGUGACAAAAGUGAAGAUUUGUUUCGAAAAGGACUUUUUAUAUUUAAAACUCAGAGUCGCCACUUGGCAUAAUCCGGUGUGCCAAGUCACCUUUGGACAAUCCUUUUCAAAACAAUUUGACUCUUUAAAACUGGUUUGCAAACAGAGAUUCCGGCUAAGGAAUUCUGUUGACCGAGGGGAAGGUGUUAGGCACCCCUCGAUCCCGUGGAUUGACCACGGUCGCUUGGUGGAGCGUAUCGACUGAUUUGACACUAAAAACGUAUAAACCACACAAAAACACACAAAACAAUCAAACAAACAAAAAUAAAACAAUCUGAAAAUAUAGUGUCCAGUCCGAAUUAUACAGUCCCAAAAAUAUAAAAAUACAAAAAUGUAACUCCUAUUCUAAACUAAUUCUAAACUAUUCUCCAAUACCUUACCCGAUGCGUCGGGCCUUGAUCACGAACAUCCUCCGAAUACAAAAUACUUCGGGGCAUUCCCCGGCCAAAUGAUACACUUGAUCCAAAUAAGAUAACAAAAAAAAGUUCAAAACACACAUUUAAACAUUCAAGGCAUUCAAUCAACACAUCACUCCUAAAUUUUUGCCUACCCAAACCUAUAUUGCCUAUUCAUUUCACCAUAUCGUAAAUCUAUCACGUUCAUGCUUAUCCCGAAUUAAAGAAAAUGGCAACGGAACAAAAUUUAACUACAAUCAACUUCUAUCAAAUUCUUAAUUACACCCCUAAAUUCAUUCUCAACUAAUGAUUAACCUAGCUUCGAUUAUCAAUUCAAUUUCUCGCACCCAAAUUCAACAUCAACCAGCAUCAACCAUACACACAGUAAAGGCUCAAGCAUGAUAAGCAUACCAAAACAUUCACGUCUGCAAGAACAAUCAAAAUUUGAGAUAAAAAUAGAGAAUGAAAGAAAUGGACCUCAAGUUUCUCUUUCAAAAUCAAUGUAUUAUUUCAAUUAAAUCCGACUUCUCCACAUCCGAAGCCUUUGAGUCGAACCUCAACAGCAGACCCAGUCCAAACUCGGUACUACCAAAAUUAAAACCCCGAACUGACCACAAUGAUCCAAUAUCUCGCUAAAAUCUAACGGAAAAUCAAACACCCGCAAGGUUCAAACUCCGAUGAGUCAUCGGUGAUGCAGACGACCAGAACAACCAGUCGCCGGACGGAUUCCAUCUGAAAUUGAAGAACAACGGAGGGAGGUUUGACCGUUUUAUACGAAUGACGAACGGAAGGGAUGACUCCGGCGAAUCUAUUGCCAGAACAGUAACCCGAAAUCAACCCUGCUUCCUUCUUCGUUAUGGAUCUAGACCUCUCUCACUCUAUCUCCCUCCCAUUCUCGAAUCUCUCUCUCUCUUUCUCUUCUCCCUCUCAUGAUCUUUCUCUCAAUCUCUCUGUGUGUCAUUUUCUAUUUUGUGAUGAGAAAACCAUGUGCGAAGCCUUUUCCGAUGACAACCAGUGUGUGAUAUAGAUUUAUGUGUUCUUAGUGGAAUCAGAUGGUGAGUAUGGGUAUGGUCAUGAAUGAAAAAUGAAGCUCUACCAUUGUUGUGAUAUGCGUGUAUGGUAUUUUAGUGGUGUCAGGUGGGUGUUAAUGGUGGAGUGAUGGUUUUGUCAUGGUGUUAAUGGAGUGUGUGCGAUGGUGCUGAUUGUGAGGGAAUUUUGUGAAGGUGUCUGUGGUAAUUGUAUAUUCCUUUUUAUUUGUGAGAGUGUAUAUAUAUUAUAUUUUGUUCCCUUAAAACAAAAUGGUUCCUUGUGGGCUUUCCUGGAAGUUUCCUAGUGGGCCCCUUUCUAAUUUUUAUCCCUUUUUGCCUUUGUGGACAAGAAAUAUGAGGGGGAGGGGGUCACGUGGGUAUGGGGUAUUGGGGGUAGGGGUAUGGGUAAUUUGUCUUCUUUUAAUUGAAAGGGUUGUUAGGAUGUUAAAAGAAUAAAAGUUUGUUAGGAAUUUUGUUGAGAGUUAUUUUUUUGUAUUUUUAUGGGAUGUAAUUACAUGGGAGAGGGUACACGGUAGGAUAAGGUAAAAAUGGAGAAAACGAUAUCGGGGAGGGACGAAAUUACAUGUCUACAUCAUGCUCCCUUUGAAUGUAAACACGCAGUGUUUUCAGACAAAGAAGUAAACAACGAGACCAAAUUUUAUCUCGAUCAUUAUUCAAAGAGAGGAGUAAAAGAAAGAAAGACAACCGAAUCCUUUAGGACACCCUACCUACCCAAGUCAUGAGGAAGUUAAGUGAUAGGUGUUUCAAAGGAUUGGAAAGAGAUGGACUAUACCGAGUUGGAGAGUCGAGUGAGGUUCCAUAGAGGUUUCAAAACACACAUUUAAACAUUCAAGGCAUUCAAUCAACACAUCACUCCUAAAUUUUUGCCUACCCAAACCUAUAUUGCCUAUUCAUUUCACCAUAUCGUAAAUCUAUCACGUUCAUGCUUAUCCCGAAUUAAAGAAAAUGGCAACGGAACAAAAUUUAACUACAAUCAACUUCUAUCAAAUUCUUAAUUACACCCCUAAAUUCAUUCUCAACUAAUGAUUAACCUAGCUUCGAUUAUCAAUUCAAUUUCUCGCACCCAAAUUCAACAUCAACCAGCAUCAACCAUACACACAGUAAAGGCUCAAGCAUGAUAAGCAUACCAAAACAUUCACGUCUGCAAGAACAAUCAAAAUUUGAGAUAAAAAUAGAGAAUGAAAGAAAUGGACCUCAAGUUUCUCUUUCAAAAUCAAUGUAUUAUUUCAAUUAAAUCCGACUUCUCCACAUCCGAAGCCUUUGAGUCGAACCUCAACAGCAGACCCAGUCCAAACUCGGUACUACCAAAAUUAAAACCCCGAACUGACCACAAUGAUCCAAUAUCUCGCUAAAAUCUAACGGAAAAUCAAACACCCGCAAGGUUCAAACUCCGAUGAGUCAUCGGUGAUGCAGACGACCAGAACAACCAGUCGCCGGACGGAUUCCAUCUGAAAUUGAAGAACAACGGAGGGAGGUUUGACCGUUUUAUACGAAUGACGAACGGAAGGGAUGACUCCGGCGAAUCUAUUGCCAGAACAGUAACCCGAAAUCAACCCUGCUUCCUUCUUCGUUAUGGAUCUAGACCUCUCUCACUCUAUCUCCCUCCCAUUCUCGAAUCUCUCUCUCUCUUUCUCUUCUCCCUCUCAUGAUCUUUCUCUCAAUCUCUCUGUGUGUCAUUUUCUAUUUUGUGAUGAGAAAACCAUGUGCGAAGCCUUUUCCGAUGACAACCAGUGUGUGAUAUAGAUUUAUGUGUUCUUAGUGGAAUCAGAUGGUGAGUAUGGGUAUGGUCAUGAAUGAAAAAUGAAGCUCUACCAUUGUUGUGAUAUGCGUGUAUGGUAUUUUAGUGGUGUCAGGUGGGUGUUAAUGGUGGAGUGAUGGUUUUGUCAUGGUGUUAAUGGAGUGUGUGCGAUGGUGCUGAUUGUGAGGGAAUUUUGUGAAGGUGUCUGUGGUAAUUGUAUAUUCCUUUUUAU
rnacentral:lncRNA from 1 species